UACGGAGGGUGCAAGCGUUAUCCGGAUUCACUGGGUUUAAAGGGUGCGUAGGUGGGUCUGUAAGUCAGUGGUGAAAUCUCCGUGCUUAACAUGGAAACUGCCAUUGAUACUAUAGGUCUUGAAUUUUCUGGAGGUCAGCGGAAUAUGUCAUGUAGCGGUAGAAAUGCUUAGAUAUGACAUAGAACACCCAAUUGCGAAGGCAGCUGGCUACAGGGAUAUUGACACUGAGGCACGAAAGCGUGGGGAUCAAACAGG
rnacentral:rRNA from 1 species